rnacentral:rRNA from 1 species
GACGAACGCUGGCGGCGUGCUUAACACAUGCAAGUCGAGCGGUAAGGCUCCUUCGGGAGUACACGAGCGGCGAACGGGUGAGUAACACGUGAGCAAUCUGCCCAUCUCUUUGGAAUAAGCGUUGGAAACGACGUCUAAUGCCGAAUACGACCUCCUUUCGCAUGAUCGGAGGUGGAAAGCUCCGGCGGAGAUGGAUGAGCUCGCGGCCUAUCAGCUAGUUGGNGAGGUAACGGCCCACCAAGGCGACGACGGGUAGCCGGCCUGAGAGGGUGACCGGCCACACUGGGACUGAGACACGGCCCAGACUCCUACGGGAGGCAGCAGUGGGAAUAUUGGACAAUGGGCGAAAGCCUGAUCCAGCAACGCCGCGUGAGGGAUGACGGCCU